GGGGUAGGAAAUAAAACGAUGAAUGCUUAAAAAGCCACAAUGUAGCAUUUUUCUGUGAAUGUAAUUCAGAUAUGUGUACUAUAGGCAAGUAAUUGGGUAGCGGUUGUACCAUCUUGAAAUGUAAGUUGAGCACCUCGGUUUUUAUACUGAAUUGAUACUUGCUUAAGGAAACUGUUGAUGCUAAUCAUACAGAAGAUUUAAAAAAUGUGGUAAAGAGUAAAGACCUCAAUAAUGGUUUUAAUUGGGGGGCAAUAAUUUUAGAGCCCUGUGCUAGAUUUACAUUACCUCAUAAAACAUAUGCAAUGAUGGAUAUGAAGAGGUUGGGAGAUGGUUGAUUGAUAUGAUUUUGUUUGUAUUAUAGAAACGUAGUAAUUGAAGUUGAAUGUUGGGGAGAGCUUUUGCAUUGGUUAGGGUUUAGGUAGACAGGCACAUGAAGGAUUUUUGUGUUCUUUAUUGUCAUUAUUCUGAUACAGUGUGUGGUUUUUCACAAUGAAAGAUGUUGGUGUUCCCAGGGGCUUGCAAAAUUGAAAGAAGAAGAGGGGGAAAAGGAAACAGGAUUUAAUUAAGAAAGAGAGAAUUGUCUUUUAGGUUCUUUGGUGGUCGUGCAUUGAUGCUUAAAGACAUAAUAAAUAAGCUUAUGUUCCCAUCCUAAUUUUUUAUGUACCGCAGAUACAAUGUUGCUGUAAAAUGUGCUACCAUAACUCCCGAUGAGACCAGAGUUAAAGAAUUUAGCCUGAAGUCUAUGUGGAGGAGUCCAAAUGGCACAAUUAGAAACAUCUUAAAUGGCACUGUUUUUCGUGAACCUAUUCUCUGCCAGAACAUUCCAAGAAUUGUUCCUGGUUGGAAGAAACCCAUAUGCAUUGGUAGACAUGCCUUUGGUGAUCAAUAUCGUGCCACAGAUACAAUCAUUAGAGGACCAGGAAAGCUUAAAAUGGUUUUUGUCCCAGAGGGUGGUGACACCCCCAUGGAGCUUGAUGUUUAUGAUUUUAAGGGCCCAGGUGUAGCACUUGCUAUGUAUAAUGUUGAUCAGUCCAUUCAAGCUUUUGCCGAGUCAUCAAUGUCAUUGGCAUUUGCAAAAAAGUGGCCUCUUUACUUGAGCACCAAAAACACAAUUCUGAAGAAAUAUGAUGGCAGGUUUAAGGACAUAUUCCAGGAGGUAUAUGAAGAGAAGUGGAAGCAGAAGUUUGAAGAACAUUCGAUAUGGUAUGAGCAUCGGCUAAUUGACGAUAUGGUUGCUUAUGCGGUAAAAAGUGAAGGUGGUUAUGUGUGGGCUUGCAAAAAUUAUGAUGGAGAUGUCCAAAGUGAUUUACUUGCUCAAGGUGAUGUAAAUUGGUUGUUCUAACUCUCUUUGGUCAUAUAUAUCUCUAGGCUUUUAAUAUUGGUUGAUCAUUGAUGUGAUUAGGCCUCUCUGUAUGGUGGGUGGUAUUUACCUUGUUGGGAUGCCUUGGGAGGGAUCUCCCUUCUUUCUUUUUUUUUUUCUUCCUUCUAAAUUUCCAAUAGAUAUUCAGAUUUAAUUAUUUUGAAUUGAGAUUCUUAGGAAAUUGUGCAUAUGCAUGUGUUCACCUAUAUUAUAUGUAAGAAAAUAGUGACUCUGGAAAAAUACAUGGGGAAGCUGACAUGAAUUGAGGACACCACGGUUAAUAGAAAAUGGACUCUAAUUGCAGAUUUGUUAUUCAAUAAUUUUUUAAUGUCCUUUCUGUGUACUGACUUGAAGAGGCAUAGUAAGUGCCAAAAUGAAUGGGUAAUUGGCACUUCUAUUUGUUUAUCAAUAUGAAUGACCUUAAACAUUCACUUAUUAUGUAUUUUUAGUAUACCUGCAUAAACCUGGUUUGUCUUGUGCAGGAUUUGGUUCGUUGGGCCUCAUGACCUCUGUGUUGUUAUCAUCUGAUGGAAAGACACUUGAGGCUGAGGCUGCUCAUGGGACUGUUACUCGGCAUUUCCGGUUAUAUCAGAAAGGACAAGAAACCAGCACAAAUAGUAUUGCUUCAAUAUUUGCAUGGACACGAGGGCUAGAACAUAGGGCCAAACUGGAUAAGAAUGAAAGGUUGCUUGAUUUUGUGCGCAAGUUGGAGGCUUCAUGCAUUGAGACUGUAGAAGCAGGAAAAAUGACGAAGGAUCUAGCUAUUUUGAUUCAUGGCCCUAAGGUGUCGAGGGAGUUUUAUUUGAACACGGAAGAAUUUAUUGUUGCUGUUGCACAGAAUCUCGAGGCAAAGCUUCGGGAACCUGCAGUUGUUUAACCACACAUUU
rnacentral:misc_RNA from 1 species